UUUCUGAAAUGGUGUCCCACCGCAAGGACUGGAGAAGGGGUCUUCCUCUGCCACCCAGGCUGGAGUGUGCAGCAGCAUGACCGUGGCUUACUGCAGCUUCAACCUCUCAGGAUUAGGCCAUGAGAGAAGCAGUACCUUAUAAUGGUUCCUUGUUCAAAGCACUCAAUAUUCCUAGGAUGUGGUCUCCCAGCUGACUUCAUAACUGAAUCAUCAGUAAUUAAUUUCAUUGUUCUAUUAGGACUUUACUGAAGACUCUAAGGAGGACCUGUAUCUGUUGGGAUCCUCAGGGCAAGCCACAGAAACAAGCUUUGGAUACUAGAAGCAGAAAAUGGAGAUAUUGAAGACUAUUGUGGAGUUUACUGUGAGCCAGAGAACCAGGCUGGGGGGCUGUAUCACUUAGAAUGAGAUCCAAACUCACACCAUAGUUCCAUCCUUGAGGUUGCCAUGUUGCUGCCACCCCUCCUGCCACCCCACCACUGAAGCUUUGGAUGCUGGAUUCUGGGCACAGCAGGGAGAAGUGUUGCUUAUUACCAUUUUAGUAUGUUUUCUUUCAAGACC
rnacentral:lncRNA from 10 species